rnacentral:rRNA from 1 species
UACGUAGGGGGCGAGCGUUGUCCGGAUUCAUUGGGCGUAAAGAGCUCGUAGGCGGUUCGGCAAGUCGGGUGUGAAAACUCCAGGCUCAACCUGGAGACGCCACCCGAUACUGCUGUGACUCGAGUCCGGUAGGGGACCACGGAAUUCCUGGUGUAGCGGUGAAAUGCGCAGAUAUCAGGAGGAACACCGAUGGCGAAGGCAGGUCUCUGGGCAUUAACUGACGCUGAGGAGCGAAAGCAUGGGGAGCGAACAGG